UGCGCAUCCUGUGACUAAGGCUGAGGCAGUAGGUGUCUGGGGAGAAACAGAGCUGGCACCCACAGGACAACCACAUGGACGCGCGAUCGGGUCAGGCCGCACAUCCAGACCAGGAUGUGAGGUCAGGCUGCGAACAGGCAGUAGCAACAAUCACAAUCGUGUUACUGGCAGAGACCCAGAAAUCCAGGUCAGAGGGAAACAAUAAGGAACCCAAUGGCACCAAAUAAUCCAGUAAAAAUCAGGUUAAAACAAAACAAAACAAAACAAACCCACGGAUGCUCAGAGAAGUCAAGCACCUUGCCUGGAAACAGGGGAGAUGGACUCAGCCCAGGUCUGCCCGGCUCCAGGAUCAGGCUCCUGACCAGUGGAUGACACUGCCCUUCACACCAAGAAUAAAUUCCAAGCAGAUUAAAGAAUUGAAUAUCUUUGGUCAAAUAACUAGCAUUGUCAUUACAUGUUUCAGAGAAAGCCUUGGUUAUAAGACCCUGGCUACUUUCUAGCCUAUCCUAUAAUGACAAAAACCUGGGUAUCUUCAAU